GACGAACGCUGGCGGCGUGCCUAAUACAUGCAAGUAGAACGCUGAAGGAGGAGCUUGCUUCUCUGGAUGAGUUGCGAACGGGUGAGUAACGCGUAGGUAACCUGCCUGGUAGCGGGGGAUAACUAUUGGAAACGAUAGCUAAUACCGCAUAAUAGUAGAUGUUGCAUGACAUUUGCUUAAAAGGUGCAAUUGCAUCACUACCAGAUGGACCUGCGUUGUAUUAGCUAAUUGGUGGGGUAACGGCUCACCAAGGCGACGAUACAUAGCCGACCUGAGAGGAUGAUCGGCCACGCUGGGACUGAGACACGGCCCAGACUCCUACGGGAGGCAGCAGUAGGGAAUCUUCGGCAAUGGACGGAAGUCUGACCGAGCAACGCCGCGUGAGUGAAGAAGGUUUUCGGAUCGUAAAGCUCUGUUGUAAGAGAAGAACGAGUGUGAGAGUGGAAAGUUCACACUGUGACGGUAUCUUACCAGAAAGGGACGGCUAACUACGUG
rnacentral:rRNA from 1 species